ensembl:lncRNA
GGUAUGCUGGCCAGUCCCAGCCCAGUAUGUCUGGGCCAUGUCCCAGCCCAGGUAUGUCCGGGCCAUGUCCCAGCCCAGGUAUGUCUGGGCCAUGUCCCAGCCCAGGUAUGUCUGGGCCAUGUCCCAGCCCAGGUAUGUCUGGGCCAUGUCCAGCCCAGGUAUGUCUGGGCCAUGUCCCAGCCCAGGUAUGUCGGGCCAUGUCCCAGCCCAGGUAUGUCGGCCAUGUCCCAGCCCAGGUAUGUCUGGGCCAUGUCCCAGCCCAGGUAUGUCUGGGCCAUGUCCCAGCCCAGGGUGAUCUUGAAAUAUCAAAUCUCUCUUUCCUUUAAAAUAAUAAAUUGCAUGUAGAAGGUGAUUGAAAGCAUCAAAGCAUGAUUAUGAUUAUGAUAUUUUUUUUAAUGUUACUUAUUUUCUUCUGGUGGCGUUUAAGUCCGUCAGGGGCGGACUACUCGCCAGACCUGGAUUCAAAUCAUUUCAGAUACUUAAGCGGGCUUGAUUGAGCUUGCAUGGCAAAAUGAAACAAAUAGAAUAGUCACAAAAACUGCAAAUCUCCUGCCCGUGAUCUGGAACAACAGGCACACUGAAGUCAACACUCAAAGCAUUUAAAAGAUUUUGAGAAACGUACAGGGAGCAUCUACAGUCCUGUUACGUCCUCUCUGCUAGGUAGAUCAUGAGAAACGUACAGGGAGCAUCUACAGUCCUUUAUAUCCUCUCUGCUAGGGUAGACUCAUGAGAAACGUACAGGGAGCAUCUACAGUCCUGUUACGUCCUUCUGCUAGGGUAGACUCAUGAGACAUGUUAAGGGAGCAUCUACAGUCCUGUUAUAUCCUCUCUGCUAGGGUAGACUCAUGAGAAACGUACAGGGAGCAUCUACAGUCCUGUUAUAUCCUCUCUGAUUUUGAAGUAGUAUUUGAACCCAGGUCUGCUACUCUCUCACCACCGAUACACAGUGAACCCUUGGUCCUCCAUUUUAACACAUGUAGCAGAAAGUUAGUAAGAUAUUGUCCACUCUUCCUCCACCACUCUCUUCCUCUUCUGUGUCCUCCCUUUGUCCCCCAGCCUACUCACCGUGGAGUGAGAGGCAGUCAUUUGGGUUAGGGUGUUUCUCUGUGUAGAUUGGUUGUAGAAUGUUGCACUGUAGCCAUAAAUCAUAACAGUUCAUGUGGAUGAUUUUUUUCCCCCUCCUCUGCUGUUAGAGAUGAGAGCUUUACUGUAAAACAUAGAAGAGCAGCUUGCUCUGGCAGGAUGCAGGUCUGGUCUUUUUUUUCAGUUGAAUAUCACUGAUAGGUGUGUGUACACUUUCUGGUAACGUUCCCCAAAUGUGUAAAGAACAGGAAGGCCCUCACACUGUUGAUGCUCCACACGUUUCAAUCCGACACAGCCCAGCAACGACGUUUUUAAGGAUGUGCGUAUGACCAAAAUUCCCAGGUUUUAUCGAGAACCCCAGUUGGAAGGUUCCCAGAAUCAUGGAUGGCGUAAAGCAGGAAAUCCGGAAUCCUUCUAUCAAUAGUUCUGGAAAAAGCUAUGGGUUUUUGGGGGGGAAGUUACGAGAACUUUGCAACCCUACUCUGACUAAAAGCACUACUGUGCUAUAAUAUUUUAUCUUUAAGUCUAUCUAUGCUCUAAUUCUACACAAGCACAUGAACUGACUUUUUAGACGUGGCCAGAAUUAUAAAACCACUUAUUACUACUGCAGUCAGAUUAGCUCAACAUAGCAAAACUGUUGAAUGACUGACUUAAGGUUUAGAGAUGUAUCUACUACAUUCUAUUCGGUUCUAGAACCAAUUCUAUUCGGUUCUAGAACCAAUUCUAUUCGGUUCUAGAACCAAUUCUAUUCGGUUCUAUUUGUGUUUCCAUUUGUGCUCCCUUGUUUCUGGAUAUUGGCAUUUAUGGAGAAAAUAGUUUCCAGUAUCACUCUCCUCCACAACUAUUUAAAAAAGCCAAGUCACUCUCCUCCACAACUGUUUAAAAAAAAGCCAAGUCAACUCUCUCCACAACUAGGUAAAAAAAAAGAAAAGCCCAAGUCCGCUCCUCCCACAACUCUUUAAAAAAGCCAAGUCCUCUCCCUCCACAACUAUUUAAAAAGCCAAGUAAUCUUCCUCCCAAACGAUAAAAAGCCAAGUCACUCUCCUCCACAACUAUUUAAAAGGAGCCGAGAGUAGUCACCUCCCCGCAACAACUAUUUAAAAAAGAAAGUCACUCUCCUCCCAAACUAAUUUUAAAAAAGCCAAGUCCUCUCCCUCCAAAACUAUUUAUAAAAAAAGCCAAGUCACCUCCGCCUUCAAGCUCUCCUCCACAACUAUUAAAAAGCCAAGUCAACUCUCCUCCACAACUAUUUAAAAAGCCAAGUCACUCUCCUCCGCGCACAACUAUUUAAAAAGCCAAGUCACUCGCCUCCACAACUUUUAAAAAAAAGCCCAAGCCACUCUCCUCCACAAAACGAUUUAAAAAAGAAGCCAGCCAAGUCACUCUCCUCCACAACUAUUUUAAAAAAGCCAAGUCACGCUCCUCACAACUAUUUAAAAAAGAGAGCCAGGUCCUAGCAAGUCAACUCAGCCUCCCCAACGAUUGAAAAAGCCAAGUCAGCUUCCUUCCACAACUAUUUAAAAAAGCCAAGUCACUCCCUCCACAACGAUUUAAAAAAGCCAGAGUCACUCUCCUCCAAACUAGUUGAAAAAAGCCCAGUCAAUCUACUCUCCUCCACAACUAUUUAAAAAAGCCAAGUCACUCUCCUCCACAACGAUUUUAAAAAAAAAACCAAGUCACAUCUCCAUCGCCUCCACAACUAUUGAAAAAAAGAAGAGGCCAGUCCACGCUCCUCCACAACUAUUUAAAAAGCCAAUCACUCCCUCCACAACUAUUUAAAAAAGCCAAGUCACUCUCCGCCACAACUAUUUAAAAAAAGCCAAGUCACUCUCCUCCACAACGAUUUUUAAAAAAGCCAAGUCACUCUCCUCACAAACUAUGUAAAAAAAGCCUAAGUCACUCAUCCUCUUCCUCCACACUAUGUAAAAAAGCCAAGUCACUCUCUCCUCCACACUACUAUUUAAAAAAGCCAAGAGUCACUCUCCUCCUCCACUAUAUUGAAAAAAAAAAAAAGCCAAGUCACGCUCCUCCACUAACUAUUUAAAAAGCCAAGUCAAUCUCCCCCUCUCCUCCAUCUACUAUUAAAAAAGCCAAGUCACCUCUCACUCCUCUCCUCCACUACUAUUUAAAAAAGCCAAGUCACUCGCCCUCACAACUAUUUAAAAAAGCCAAGUCACGGCUCCUCCACAACUAUUUUGUUUGUUGUAAAAAAGCCAAGU